UACGUAGGGUGCAAGCGUUGUCCGGAAUUAUUGGGCGUAAAGAGCUCGUAGGCGGUCUGUUGCGUCGGCUGUGAAAACCCGGGGGCUCAACUCCGGGCCUGCAGCCGAUACGGGCAGACUAGAGUUCGGCAGGGGAGACUGGAAUCCUGGUGUAGCGGUGAAAUGCGCAGAUAUCAGGAGGAACACCGGUGGCGAAGGCGGGUCUCUGGGCCGAUACUGACGCUGAGGAGCGAAAGCGUGGGGAGCGAACAGG
rnacentral:rRNA from 1 species